GUUCCCCGGCUUUGCCGCGCGGAGGAAGUCCCGGUUACGCAGAGCGCGCUGGGGCAGGGCUGACCUUCCCCUUUCUCUACUUCACUGGCCUCCUCCAGACGUGGUGGUUGCGCCCUUUCGGCCUCGCUUUCCGUUUUUUGGCUUCAUCCCCUAGAUCUGCAAACAGUUCCUCGUGUUUCUUCCGUUAGCCGGGAAACGCGAACUGCAGCGUUUGGGACCCGGGUUUGCGCGUGUGGAAAGCAAAAGGGGUUACUCUGCUGGAGUUCGACAUUGCAAAUAAAGGUCUUUAUCCCCGGCGGUUCUACAAAAUUAGUUCUGCAGGGAUUCUGGUUGAAAGAAGCGUUAAAGUGGGCCUUGUAGGAGUCAGCAAUAAUCCAAUUUUACAUGGGUGCAGGUGGCUGCCUGUGUCUAGCGCUUUCACACAUCUCAUAUCUUCAUCCACGCCGUGGGUAUUUUUUUUCCACGGUGUGUUUCUGUUGCUGCCUCCAGUAUAUUGCUUAAUCAUCCUACCUGGUAAUUAUUUAUGCAUUUUUCUCCUACUCUCGACUCAGCUCCUAGGGAAUAAAAACACAUUAACUUAUCUUUGUGCCCACAGCACCCACCAAGUAUUUCCAUCACGUAAUACUGCCUCUAGAAAGGCAGGAGGAGAAGCAGUCACGCUAAGGAUCUAGGCAAGCCAGAUCUUUUGUCCGGUUUUAGGAGGUGGCCAGCCCUUACUUAUUCCACAAGUGUUUUUCCAGAAACUCAGACUUGAUAUUGCCUCAAGUCCAAGGCAGUGUGCUUCCCCCACUCACAUAUCACUAAUAGUAGCUAACAUUUGUUCAGAUCCCUGUAUGUACUCUGCCACUGUUUUAAAUGUUACACCCGGGUUACCUCAUUUAAUCCUUACAACUGCCCUGUGAGGUAGGUACUAUUAUUAUCUCUACUUUGUAGAUGGGAUUCACCGAGGCACAGACGGUUAAAAAACCUAGCCCAAAUAACACAAAUAAACAGCAGAGCAUGCAGUGCUAGAGUCUGCAUUCUUAACAAUUGCUAUAUUCUCCCUCUCCGUGAAUGUGGGCUGAGAUGCUGAAACAGGCAUGUGCUGUGGGGGAGAAAAAGCUUUGUCCAACCAAGUGCUUUCUAAUGUCCAGAUGACAUAGAGCUAGGAUUUCCUAAUGUCUUUUUUCCCCUAUUUUUCUCUCCAUUUCAGGGUUGAGUUUGUGCAUCGAUUGUGAACACAACAGGCAGCAGGCUAUAAUGGUGGUCCUGGCUGGAGUAGUUUUCACAGACUUCAGUAAUCUGUGGAGAUGAACGGGCAGUUCUCUGUAGUUUUCACAGAUCACUGCCAGUUCGUUUUGAGGCCUUCAGGAGUGAAGACCUGGCUCAUCAUCACUCUUUGUUGUUUUGUUAAAUUUAUUUACACCCUACUUUAUUCCAGAGGAAAGGAUUUAACGUAGUUUACAUAAAUGUGUACAUCAGGGUAAAUUAAAAAUAAGUACAGAGAAAAAUAGGACAAAAGAAAACCGUGAGUGUGAAAGAUAAGAUUAAGCCAGCAGUUUUGUAUGCAAAAUGCAUGGUGUAAGGUCCUAUUGGUUUGCUGGAGGUAGGCCACACAUAUGACUCUCAGUUUUCUAGCAACCAAGAAAAAGAUCAGUUGCAAUCGGAGUAGGUGUUUUGGCUAAGCUGGAACUAGGACUUGAAUAUAGCAGCUUGUAGAGUUAUACCACUUGCCCAAAUCUCUUCCAUGAGCCUCUUUAAGUGUAACAGAAUGCCUGGGAGCACGUAAAUGCUCCUACUUAGAUGCCUACUUAGCCUCUAAUUUUCAUGGGGCCCAUGAAUCCCAUGAAAAAGAACUUUGAACCCUGUCCACAAUUAGAGUUCAGGUAUACGCAGACAUGUUUAAAGACAAGGGACACCCAAAGGAAAGAUUGCACAGAGAGAAAGUGAGCAUCCGAGAGAAAAUCACCACAAGUGAGGCAGAGGGAGGCCGGUCUCAGCAGAGUUUUGGAGGUCGUGAGAAGAAGAGGUAGGAGAUAGGAGAGUGGUUCCGAGUACUUGCCUGCUGAUGUUACCUUCUCCACCCCCACCAGGUUUUCCAGUGCCUGGAGUCUUGGGCAGGAAUGGGCCACUGUAAGAAAGAGCUUUAUCACUAGGGCCUCAGCCAACUUUUCUGUGGGAUAUCCCUCCAAAAUAAUUAAGAGUUCAGAAUGCUUCAGAUUUUGAAGUGAAACUGGUACAUAUAUUAAGUGUUACUUAAUAACCCGAUAGUUUCUAGGGCAGCUCACCAUAAUCCCAAGUAUUAGCCACCACCCUCACCCCCUUCAGAGUAAAAUGUGUUUCCUGAAGGAAGUUGGGAAAAUGAAGAAAAAAAAUACAAAAAUCACCUAUAAUCUUACCAGUCAUAGAUGGCAGUUUUCCUGUCUUAUUUCUGAAUAAUGGUUGUUAAACAUUUGCCAGCACACCAUAAGGCUUAGGGAGGCAUCUGGGUCAUGCAUGUUAAUAUCCUUGGGUAAUUCCAGAAAUCUCUAUGAAGGGAAACUCCUGUUAUUUAUCUAGACUUCCUGAUUGCAAGGGGUUUGGGCAUCAUGAUUUAGGGGUCUUAAUAAAAUUAUUAUUUUAUUUUUACUAAUAGAUAAUGUCUGUGCCUAUCAGAUAAAGGCAAACCAGUGCUCAGAGGAACCCAACCAUCUCUGAAUUGAGACCAGAGAGCUGUCUCUAUGGAUAGUCCUUAGAGAAGGCAUUUCGGAACACAGUAAACAGCAGCCUGGUGACUCCGAUUACAGGGCCAGUUGCCUUUGUUACAAUAAAAGCAAGUCAUCUACACAGAUUUUUCCUACCAGGAAGAGCAUGUGCUGACCAACAGACAUGAAUUUCAGCCUGGUAGUUACAACAUUCACAGUAUACCCACAUCACUAAGCUGGGAGGCACAUUUUGAGACCCAGAAUCCUGACACCUCCAUGCCUUCAAAAGGACAAACUGCGGCCUGGACCAGCUGGUGAAACAUAAUUCUGAAUCCUGCCCACAGCCUUCGGUGGUUUUGGAUGAAAGGCCAGCGCCUUGGGAGCCCUGCGUUUGAUUUCAAGUUUUAAGGCCGGCACUGGUGGAGCAAUGAAUGGUGAAAGCUCUCCCCUUAAAGGAGCACAGUUGCCUUUAGGUGACUGCUAACUCAGGCUUUUGCUGAGGACAGUGUUUACUUUGUGAGCUUAAUGACAGGGCUGGCUUUCUGGGAGUGUUGCAAUGAAACAGACUCAGACACAGGCCAUCAUGGGCCUCCUCCCUAGCAAGGCCGCCACGGCUGGCAUCUCAAGAGCAGUCCGUUGAACUUGGGAUUUGGGUGUGAGACACAGUUUCAUCAGAAGAAUUUAAACCAAAGUCUACAUUUGCCCUCUAGAUAAAUGUGUGUGUUCAGCAGCAACCACAA
rnacentral:lncRNA from 1 species